AGGCCAGUUGCGGGUAGGGAUCUGUGAUGCAGAAAAUAACCUCUUUUGCAUAAGGAAUUGUUUAAUUUGACUGUGGGAUAGCAAGUUCUUGAGUUUCACAAAGGGGACAGAAUAGCAGCCUGGCACUUAGCUUGGCUUGUCCAGGCCAUUUGAGCCCUCAGGGAAGGGUUUGGAGAACUACUGGGGGAGCUCUAGGAAAAGCUGAGCUAUUCCUGUCCUGCUGAGGGUCUCCCCUUGGGCUUCUCAUCCAGAGGAGAGCAGUGACCCCAGACCAAGGGGGGAAUUCUGUGAAGCCACGGGAGCCUGAGUACCUGCCAGAGGAUGGCUGACUCCAGAGUGACCUGCUGAGGCCUGCCGGCCUUCUGGCUUUGUGCCACACCAGCCAUUGCCCUAGCAUGACUCUCCUCCUUCCAUUGGAUUCUGCUCUCCAGUCAGCAUCAUCUUGCUAAAGAAGCAUAAACCACAAGCUCUGGGGAAGCUGGUUUGUCUGUCUCACAAGCAGGCCUCAAAGUCUCCUGGCUACCUUCCUAAAUUUCCCUGGAUGUGUGAUCAUGGGAGGACAUGUUGAGAUGCUCUUCUAUCAGCCUGGGCCCUGAUUAGGUAAGUAAUCACUGAGAUUUAGGUAUAUUUGUUAUUGCAGCAUAAUCUUGUCCAUUUUGACUAAUAUAUUGCAUUAGAUCAUA